UUUAGUCGCGAAGCAGUAUAUUCGAAUCGAACGUUUAAAAGUUGGCCGAUGGACAGCAUUGAGAGUGUGACGUCUGUUUGUCUGUGCUUGAUACGUGGUCCCCUGAAUGAGAGGUGGUCAUCUUAUCAACUACACUAAUCCUUACACGUUAAAAGUAAGUAUAUUUGUGAGCAUGACUUGAAGUCUAGGGAUGUGAAUGUUUUCGGAUAGUGAUAAUUAUCUAAGUUAUAAUUGAUAUAGGUACAAGUGGAUAGCUGAAUCAAUGAAGUGUGUGUAUUUGAUUUGACGUUAAUUUAGUGUUGGCGUAAGUUAAUUUUACUUCGAAACAACUAACUGUGCUUUAAUAGUGAAGAAGUGGAUCGAAAACCUUACCUACAAUAGCAAUAGCAAUAUUACCUGCAGCUGUGCGCAGUUCGGGAAUUUUGAUCUGAAUAAUUCCACUCGUGUUGGUAUUAUGCAACGCAUUUUCCGAUGGAUACAUUUAAAGAGUUGAUUGUCCCGUUGCUCCUGCCGUACGCAUCUUGAAGCACCAGCAUCCUUGAUGUAAUAACACUAUGCUUGUAU